rnacentral:lncRNA from 1 species
AUUUAGGUUAGCUAACUUUUGCUAAAAGGGGAAAUAAACUGUUAUUUUGUUUUAUUUUAACUCUUAGAAUAUUAGCUAGUUAACUACUUUAUCUACAUGAGUGACUUAAAGCUAUUAAUCUGCCUUUACCUCUCAACAAUUGGCUAGCUAUAGCCAACCUAAAGCGAUUUAGCGUUUAGCUAGCUAGGUAUAGCUAGCUUAGUUAGCUCUUCAACUGUUUUCAGUUAACGUUAUCGUUCAGAAACACACCAGUAAUCGAACAAUAAUUUGUUUUUACAUCUGUCUGCUGCAGAUCAGCUGGAGAGAAGGAGUGAGGAACAGUCAGGAGAGAAAUGGAGGUGAAGAACAGUGAAGAAAAGUGAAGAACAGUGAGGAACAGUUCAGGAAUAAUACAGGAUGAGCUGGAGAAGAGCUGCCUGAGCAGCAGGAGGAAGAAGUUUCCCAGAGAUGGAGGAGGAGGAUGGAGGGAGUGGAGCGCAGGAGAACGGAGAGAUGGAGCAUACACACCUCCACCUCACCUGCCUGCCGGAGAGAUACAUGAGGGCCAAGUUCUCCCUGUCUGCCUACAUCUUCUGCUGGGCUGUAGUUAAACUGUACCAGAGGAGAUUAAGACCGUCUCCGGUUCUGCUACAGAAUGAUGAUCCUGGUCGAGGUUAAUCUGAUGAUCAGAUGUUCUGGUCCAGUUGGAGGUUGCAGUGCUCGCUGUAUCAGGAUGACCCACAUUAUCUCUGUACUGUCCCUAAUCUCCUGAAAUCCUGAGCUCUGGAGGAAGUGACCCAUCACGCCUCUCCUGACCUAACACCAAACCUCAGGGCCAGCUUUAGGGACACUGAGCAGGACUUCCUGCAGGACAAACUGGGCGGAACCAUUCAGUUUAUCUAGAACCGAGUCUCUACUGCUGUAUUCUAAGCAGAAGGGGUUCUGUAGAGUACUGAAAAAGUGUUGUAAGUAUGUAGUAACCAUUCUGAUGGAUUAAAAUCAAAUCAAAAGCUGGAUGUUGAAAUAGAUACGCUUCCUACUGGUGGAACUGGCACUAAUUUGGUAGCUAAGAUAAGUCUAGAGAGACUACACAUAACUGAGACACUUUUUUUGAAACAAUUGAUCAUUCUUAUUCCAAAGUCUUUACAAUUUGAUGUUAAGGAACAUUUUUCUGAAGUUGUUUAGAGGCAGUUCUGAUGUCACUGAUUAAUUUAUUAAGGAUACGCAAAGUUUUUUAUGCUGUAUUGAAACUGAAAAAGAGAGAUUAGGAGAUGUUUUAAGGAAAACAGGGCUGUAAAAGCUGCACUGCUUUUUGUAAAAUUGCUGUUUGUAUUUAUUGUAAUGCUGUAAUGUGUUUUACUGAGCUAAUAAACACUUACUGCACAGAUAAGAAGCUUUUUCU